AGGAUCAUUACCCAGAGUUGUAGGCUUUGCCUGCUAUCUCUUACCCAUGUCUUUUGAGUACCUUACGUUUCCUCGGUGGGUUCGCCCACCGAUUGGACAAAUUUAAACCCUUUGCAGUUGAAAUCAGCGUCUGAAAAAACUUAAUAGUUACAACUUUCAACAACGGAUCUCUUGGUUCUGGCAUCGAUGAAGAACGCAGCGAAAUGCGAUAAGUAGUGUGAAUUGCAGAAUUCAGUGAAUCAUCGAAUCUUUGAACGCACAUUGCGCCCCUUGGUAUUCCAUGGGGCAUGCCUGUUCGAGCGUCAUUUGUACCUUCAAGCUCUGCUUGGUGUUGGGUGUUUGUCUCCUGUAGACUCGCCUUAAAACAAUUGGCAGCCGGCGUAUUGAUUUCGGAGCGCAGUACAUCUCGCGCUUUGCACUCAUAACGACGACAUCCAAAAGUACAUUUUUACACUCUUGACCUCGGAUCAGGUAGGGAUACCCGCUGAACUUAAGCAUAUCAUUAAAGCGGAGGAA
rnacentral:rRNA from 1 species